GGGCCGCAAACAAGUGGGGACUGACGGACGGACAGACUUAAAAUGUGAUUCAUAUAUCCUCUUUAACUUUGCUUGUGGUUGUAUUAAACAUGUAAGAUAGUGAUUUCCGAUCUUGACACGGUUUGUAGGCUGUUAACAAACAGGAGACUAUUGUCACUGUUGAUGUGACAAAGACGUCUACUUUUUACUCUCUUUAUUGCGUUGUUUUCUCUCCCUUUUACUCGUCCAACUUACAAAUAUUUCAUCAUAUUUUUUUUUUUU
rnacentral:lncRNA from 1 species